rnacentral:rRNA from 1 species
AAUCAACCGAGAUUCCCCCAGUAGCGGCGAGCGAACGGGGAAGAGCCCAGAGUCUGAAUCAGUUUGUGUGUUAGUGGAAGCGUCUGGAAAGUCGCACGGUACAGGGUGAUAGUCCCGUACACAAAAAUACACCUUCUGUGAACUCGAUGAGUAGGGCGGGACACGUGACAUCCUGUCUGAAUAUGGGGGGACCAUCCUCCAAGGCUAAAUACUCCUGACUGACCGAUAGUGAACCAGUACCGUGAGGGAAAGGCG